GACGAACUGGGAGACCGGUUACCAUCUUUUAAUCAUCGUCCUUUAAUCGUUAUCUCUCAGAGUGACCGUAGCUUGUACACAGUUUACACAGCUCGUGAACGCUGUAUUACGUGUUGUUAAGCUUUGUUUUAUUUCAGUUCACACGCUGAAAAGUUAGGAGGUGUGAAUCCUAUAGUCUCGCGGGUGCCGUAGCGGACAGUUGUCGUGUUUGUCAUCGGCGUGUUACGGAGAUAAACGCUUUCUGCCAAUAAAUCGUCGAAUAAUUGUUCAACAACGCAGUUUUUUUUAUACCAUCUGGAAUUCACCAAUAGUGUUGGUUUAGUUCUGGAUCUGGUUUGACGCGAUAGACCGUAUCAUAAGUAGAGGCUAUUUCAGAGGAGGUGAACAUAAAAUUUGAAGCUGAGUUCAGUAUACAGAAAUUGAACAGACACAUAUCAAGGUUAUUUCACUAAAAGCGGUCGCCAAUUUGUACAUUAAAGACAGUCAAUUACGCUCCAUACUAAAGGAAGAUUCCUAAUUGAGAAGGUCUAAGAAGAUACCACAAGAAAGAUGUUGCGAUUUUCUCGCUUUUUCCUCGCUGUCCUCAUGCUCGUUGUACUGAUGCAUAUCUCUCAGGGAGAAACGACAACAGAGCUACCCUUAUUGUUGGAGAAAAUAAAGCAAACCAUUAAAAUAGGACAGGCUAGAAUAUACAACACUGUGUUCGAUUUAAUAACACGCACGACUACAGAGAUGACUACUACGACGACGGAAGAAGAUGAUUUUGAACUGACUAACAGGCAAUUAAUUGUAGUACCCAACAGAUGCCCGUCUGGCUCUGAUUUCAUACGGGGAAGCUGUCGUACAAGAGUUUACUGAGGAGCGGAAUAAAAUAUAGUAGAGUCGGGAUUUUGGAACGCCUUAUAUCAUGUGGUAAUAUAUUUGUACGAAUAUUCUGUUAAUUCUGUUCUUUUAUUUCAAUUAAAAUAAAAUAUAUCAGAUAAAUAACAGUCGAUGUACAAUUAUAUGCAUACUUUCGUCUCCAUUUUGAAAUAUCUUGUACUUACCAAAGAUCGAACAGCAUCACGUUCGAUUAUCUCAAGGGAGAUUGAAGAGGAGACCGGAUACUAAAUGCGGCAUAAUUAUCGAACACUUGUCUCACGCGAGUUUCAUGAAAUUUGACAAGAAUGUGCGAUGGCUUUACUUUGUUACUUUUUUACUUUAUGGUUACUUUAAGGUUAUGUAUCCAUUUCUGUCGGCCAUAUUGUAUACAGGGUGUCUAAUUGAAACGCCGAUGAUCCCUCGUGUGAAAAAAGAGAGAGAGAUGUACGUAAAAUGCGUUUGAUUUUUGGGAAACUACGGCUGAGUGUUUCUUGUUGAUUUUUUUGUUCUAUUACUACAAAAUGGAUCAUAAUUCAAUGAAAUAAUAUAAAGCAAAAAACAUUGUGCAUCUAUUAUUUCCUUAUAAAACGAAACUUUUGGCACAACCUAAUACUUAUUUGAGAUGUAAUUAAAUCAUUGGAAUUUCUCACCUGGAAGAAAUUUUUUUGAAAAAUUUUGUUGAAAAAUUAGAUAACUCUAAAAAAUUAUCAGGUGGAGACAUUUUUUGAAAUGUUUAUUCGAAGGAUCUAACAAUUUUUUAAAAUCCUUGCUCAAUAAAAUUUUCCAGAACGAUUACUCAGAGUUUUAAAAUAUAAAGGCAGAUGUUCAUUGUGACGGAAGCAGGGAAGUUUCGCGAUUAAACGACAGGAAGGUUGCGAAUGUUGCAAACAGUCUGCCUCUCAGAUUCCUUUUCUUCUUCUCUUUGAACUUCUUCCGCUACUUUCAUUACUUUAAUUGAAUGUUAGGAAAUUAAUCCCUUGUCGAAAUCAAAGCUACAACUAUCACUCUGUUCAAUGAACCAAAACUUGCACAAAUUCCUCCGAAAAAAUCCAAAGAAAAUCAAACUUCUCCCUUUAUAAUAUUCCACCGUUUGAAUGUCACAUUUAAUUAAAUCCAAUAACUAUAAUGAAAGAGUAACGUUCUCUCAGGCAAGUUUUAUUUUCUAACUGUACUUCGCAUUUUGUAUUUGUAUGCAUCUUUGCACACUUACACCUGUCAUAAAUGCAUAAAUACUCGUAAAGGUAUGAAACCCCAGGAAAAUAUCUACGUGUUACUAAUGCAAUUAAGCUAUAUAAAAUUGUCGAAUGUUUUCAAGACAGAUUACAAUUUCGAAAGGAGAUAUUAAAAAAAAAAAAAGAAAAAGGAAGAAAAAAGCUAAUUACUAGACUGUGCAUUUUGAUGGUUUGGGGAAAGUUUGAAAAUGCAGAAACACGCAGGGCGCGAAUAAUUAAGAAAAAUGUAGAAAAUAUCCAAGAAAGAAGGAAAAGUCCAAGAAGUAGAGUCUUCAUAUCGUCUUAAGCUGGGUCAAGUGUUCCCUUUCGAUGAUUCCUUGGGUCGAAAGCGAGGCAACAACUGAAGGACUCAUUGAUUUCAAAAUCCAUUUAUACGGGCGUGCAAUGCAGCGGCGUAGCGUCUCGGCGCAUCUAAUUCGAUCAUAGUAGCGAGGCUAUUGUUUUCUGUCCGCGCCUCUGCCUGCUGGACAAACCAUUGACAUGGUGUUGCCUAAUGGAAAUCGCUAUUCGACACACGUAAUGCUGCUCCGUGGACUCUGCCAACUCAUAUUGUUCAACCAAUAAACAAUAUCGUGCCGCGGGUCAAGGUGGAUCGAAAAAAUUCAUGGGAUCUGUGGUAUGGGUUCGAUGGUGUCGAUAGAUGGAUCAUAGAACACGACUCUAUAUUGGUUAGAUAAAAGUACAUAUGGAUACUAGGACAGGUAUAUAUACAGUGGCUAUAAAAGGCUAUAUUGGCACGAACCCUUAUUUUCCAACGAAGCGUUCCCUUUUCUUUUUUUUUUAUCAGAUCUGCAUUCCAUUUUCAUACAUAGUAGUGAAUUUUUUUAACCGUACGAGAGUAAAUGUAUAUACUUGGACCUAGUCAAUCAGAAUAAACACUGCCGUUUAAAAUUUUCCAGCAACCUUUGCUCUUUAGAUGAAACGAACUUCUCCAUAUAUUUUUCCGAGAAAUAAGAAUAUUAUAAUUUUCAGAGAAACAUCUGAAAAUAAUCCACGUUCAUCGCAUACGUAUGUAGGUGUGAAUUUGAAUUUAAUAUUGAUCAGUAUGAUUUGGUAAUACUGGAAGAUUGAUAACAAAACGAUUCCAUGAUGUUUAGGUGGAUAUAAUAGGUGGUUGGUAGAAAUUGUACACGGAUGUUAUUGGCAUUAAUUAGUUCCCUGGCGUUCAGGCGAAGAUUUCACUUUAAUAUUGAUCGGUCUGAUUUGGUAGUAUUUGAAAGCGGAUGGUAAAACAUGAUUCUAUGGUUGUUCAGGUAGGUAUACAUAUACAUAAGUACGAGGUAAUAAUAGAUGUUUGGUAGGAGUACAUGCUAUAUAUAUAAUAUGUAUAUCGUUUAGAAAUAAUUUGUUCCAUGACGUAUAGAUGUGGAUUUGAUCUUCGUUUGAUGGAUUACAUCGAGCUUUGAUUUGGGUACUUAAUAUGUAUGUAUUAUGUAGAUUAUAGGUACGUAUAUGUUACGUUAGUUGAUACGUAUGAGUCAACGUCGUAACGAGGCUUUACCAAAAAAUCGGACGUGAAUCAACUUCAUUGUAUUCUGGAUUAUUGAGUCAUCCUACGGAUUCUUGUGGUUUUGCAUCCUUUUUAGCUUGCGAACGUACACUGUCCUCUUGAAAAUUUGAUACUUUGAUGUACUUACGUUAGUUGCACUCGAAAAUAGUAUCUUCAUAAAUAUUAUUAAGAAAAUGGGAUCUAAAAGGGAGAUUUGUUUCAAUACUUGCAUUAAAUAUAUUAUAACGAGUACUUUA